UCGGUAUGCUUAACACAUGCAAGUCGAACGGACUAAUUGGGGCUUGCUCCAGUUAGUUAGUGGCAGACGGGUGAGUAACACGUGGGAAUCUACGAAUUAGUACGGAAUAACUUUUAGAAAUAAUAGCUAAUACCGUAUAUUCUCUGCGGAGGAAAGAUUUAUCGCUGAUGGAUGAGCCCGCGUCAGAUUAGGUAGUUGGUGAGGUAAUGGCUCACCAAGCCGAGCAUCUGUAGCUGGUCUGAGAGGAUGAUCAGCCACACUGGGACUGAGACACGGCCCAGACUCCUACGGUCGGCAGCAGUGGGGAAUAUUGGACAAUGGGCGAAAGCCUGAUCCAGCAAUACCGAGUGAGUGAUGAAGGCCUUAGGGUUGUAAAGCUCUUUU
rnacentral:rRNA from 1 species